ensembl:lncRNA
AUUUGUUGCAUUCAUUUGAUUUGAUCGAUAGUCAUCUUUCUUGCAUUUAACUUGUAUUUGCUUUUGCAGGUGUUUUGUUCUGUGAACAGCAGAGAGUGUUUGGGACACAAAUGAACAUAAGAGUUAAGGCAGGAGAGAGCAUCGCUCUGUACUGUGACUGUGUCAUACCAUUUGGAUCACACAUUGCUUGGUGGAGAAACUGCUCACAUGAGAAUCAACCAUCUCUGUUAAUAGAGGCUGAAAACCUGUUCACUGGGAUGUUUCCACGUUUUAGUUUUGUGUUCAACAGCUCCAGUUACACCUAUGAUCUACAUAUAACAAACGUCAGUGUCUCUGAUGAGGGACUGUAUUACUGUGCAAUGAAAGAAAGAAAAGUACAUGAUUUACACAGCAUUAUAAGUUCUGAGUACCAGUACGGAAACAGAAGUACUCAUCUAUCUGUCUUGGAGCCAGUGUCUCCUCAUCCUGAGAGGUUGAGCACCUCCUCCACACCUCCUGUAUCAGACUUCUGCUGGACGCUGCUGUUCAGUGUGUGUCCGGUGUGUGUUCUCCUCUUCUCUCUCCUCUCCUCCAUCUGUGUGUACUGUUUCUGUCAGAGGAAAACUACUGUUCCUGCAACAAUACAGACUGAGAACAGACAUAAUGAGAGUGAAGAUGAAAUCUGCUACGCAUCAUUGAACACACUUUCCAUGUUGAAGAGAAAGACAUUGCAGGAUUCCGAUUUUUGUAUUCACUCAUACUGA